rnacentral:rRNA from 1 species
UACGUAGGGCGCAAGCGUUGUCCGGAAUUAUUGGGCGUAAAGAGCUCGUAGGCGGUCUGUUACGUCGGAAGUGAAAACCCGGGGCUCAACUUCGGGCUUGCAGGCGAUACGGGCAGACUUGAGUGUUUCAGGGGAGACUGGAAUUCCUGGUGUAGCGGUGAAAUGCGCAGAUAUCAGGAGGAACACCGGUGGCGAAGGCGGGUCUCUGGGAAACAACUGACGCUGAGGCACGAAAGCUAGGGGAGCAAACAGG